UGCUUUGGCCCAUGGAAUGGGCAGAAAUGAAAGUGUGAUCGUUCUGUGUCUGGGCUUGAAGAGGUCCAAUGAAGUUUCUGCUUCGCCUCUUAUUAUGCUUCCUUCCGGUAGCCUCUUCAGCUGGGGCCCCAGAACCAACACAGGUGGAAAAGAGCUAGCCCCGCCGAUCUGCAGACCAGCAGUGAGAAGCAGCACUGACCCAGCCGGCAGAGCAUUCGAGUACAGCUGUACCGGCCAUCCUGCGAGAAUCGGUGUUCCAGUCCGCUGAGUUUGGGGAUGGUUUAUCAGUUAGCAUUGUUGUAGCGAAGGAUAACCAGUGCUCACUCCUUCAUUAGGCUAUAGGUUCAGUCGCAGUAGAGACCCAACACAACAGUGUGGUAGAUAAAUAAGCAGCUCCUUGAUCUCUGAUAUAAUCAUCUGGUUAAGGACUGUAGUCCAGGGCUGGUUUGGUGGUUCGCAUGUCAGGGAGCCAGGCGCCUUCUAUUUGACGGCUCCACCAUUCUGGGGUGUCGCCCUCAUCCACGUGAGGUCUUUGUGCUGUUCACAGGUUGAGGUCUUCAUUUCCCUUGGCCCUGCAAGCUGGAACCCUACACAGCGGGCGCCAAACCUUCUCCAACACUAGCCUUGAACACACAAAGCUCCGCCUUGAAGCCCCAUUCCCACUUCGGCUUCAGGCCUCCAGGACUUUAACUCUUGAAGGAGUGUGCUCCCCUCCCCAUCCCCCAGGUCUCAACAACAUCUCCUCCCCACUAGGACCUCAGGAGCCAGAGCUGGUCGUGCCUGGCGCUCCCCAGGACUGAGAGGCCCUGACUUCCAUGGGGGCGGCUGGCUGCCAGCCGGCGUGAGCCUUCGGGACUCCAAGGAAAGUGGUAAAAUAGCUGUGGAAUAUAGACCCUGUGAAGAGAUUACAGAUGCCAGAACCGAAGAGGAGCUACAGGAUUUAAUUCAAGUAUGUGGAGAUUAGAGCUCGAGGAUUCCACAGCCAGUGUAGCCAUAAUUUAAAGCAGCCGGCAGGAUUUGUAAGACUUGGGCACGUACAGUUAGCUCUAUCAUCCUUUGGGAAAUGUACAACUCUGAAACUGCUUUUGAGUGCAGAGAAUCUCUGGGGCUUUUCCUGAAGUCCUGGCCCUUGGCUCUGACCCCUGAUUUCAAAUUUGGAGAGCAAAUUGCAUCAGAAUACUCCUACUGUUGUGGACAUAGGAGAGGACACAGCCUUUUAGAGCUCCCCUCCAACAGAAUCUCAAGGAUUUGGGAACAGAGUAACUCUGGCCUUAAGUGAGAUUAUGCUACAGUGUUUGAAAACCAUUAUGCCUUUCAAAUAAGGUGUAUUACCCAGAUGUCAGCAUCUCAUACAUACCUUGUAUGAAAUAUUUUGCUGAAGAACUUUUCUGUAAAUCACUUAUAUCAAUGCCCUGAAUUAGGGAUUAAGUUGCCAAAGUAAUUUCUAAAAGAAGAUAUUAAUAUACUGCAUAUAGAAUGUUUUAAAAAAAAGGAGAAAAGGAUGUGUUUCAUGUCAUUGAAAACUUAAUUUGGGGCUAGAUUUCUGAUUAUUUAACUCACUCCAAAGCUGCAAAGUUUGUUUGUUUUGAAGGGAAGAGUGGAGAAAGGAAAGAUGGUUACUUUCUGAAAAAGUAUUUGAAGUUUUUUUUGUGUGCAAAAGAAUUAUUUUAAUUCAAUUUAAAUCAAGCCAGUCAAGGAAACUUCAGACUUAUCCAAGUUUACACUUUAAGAAGUCUAGCUUCCUGUGAAACGUGAAAGAGAUUCCGUAUUGAUGCUAAAGGUUUCAGAAACCUGAUUGGAACAACAGAUCCAUUCCUAAAUAAGGCCAGUCUUGGAAUCCGUUCCAUUUAAAAACCAUUACUAUGUGCUAGACGCUGGGAAUAAGAUAAAACCCUUCUCUCUUAGGGUUUGCGUGUUAGAGCUUGUGCCAGACCAUAAACAAGGACUCAAAUAAAAGAUUGUAAAAAGGGCUGUGAAGGAUGUAAACUGUUGCAAACCACGUGGCUAGUUACAGUAUUUCAAGAAAAUUGUUUAACAUGCUAACUUGAACAUCCUAAGUGCCUCCUCCAUGUGCACACACAGGGUCAGACCUCUAAAAAGUGGUGGUGUUACUUUUUCUAGACUGAUGGCUGUGUUGAAUCAAGGUGGGAGGGGGAGGUUUUCCCAUGCCAGCGUAAAUAGAGGGCUAUUCUCUUGGUUUCAGACCCUCAUUCCCAGAAUGAAAUGCUCACCUGCCCCCUCAACCUCCACCCGAAACCCCUCCUACAGAAAUCUUGGAGACAUCACUGAGUCAGUGGUAGGAAGCCUCCUAACAGAGUGGCGACUCAAUGCUCAGACAUGCGUAUUGAGAAUGUAGAGGAAAUGGCAACAUUUUAGAAUAAGUCACUGUAAAAUGUGUUCCCUUCCCCACUGCCCUGCCUGGUGCUUAUUCUGCAGGUCAGCUACUUUUCUUGGAAGCAGGAUGGCCCAGGGGAGGAAGAAUGUCUCUCGGAUUUAAGCUUUGAAGAGGCCGAGUUCAAACCGCCAGAAUUGGACUAGCGUUUUUUAAUUUCCCGGGAUGCCGGGUCCUGUGGCGUCCU